UCCUCGUCUCCCUGGUUCCGUCUCUUGUCUCCAGUCAGGUCCCUCAGUGGAGACAGGAGCUCAUCUACCUUCAGCCCGGUCCAGAGGACCACACCAGCGCUCACCAUGUUCUCGGUUCUUUCCCUGCUUCUACUGGCGGGAGCACACAGCGCGACGGCUCGGCUUCACUCUCUGAAGUAUUUUGACACUGCGUCGUCUCAAGUCACAAACCUUCCAGAGUUUGUGAGUGUUGGUUUGGUUGAUGACGUUCAGAUCACUCACUAUGACAGCAACACAAAGAAAUAUGAACCCAAACAGGACUGGAUGUUAAACACAACUGAUGAACAGUACUGGAAGAGGAACACUCAGAGAGCUUUGGGUGCACAGCAGGUUUACAAAGCCAACAUGGAAAUCUUAAAUGAACGCUUCAACCAAACUGGAGGUGUUCACAUUUUCCAGCGGAUGUUUGGAUGUGAAUGGGACGAUGAGACUGGAGCAGUUAAUGGUUUUGAGCAGUUUGGUCAUGAUGGAGAAGACUUCAUAUCAUGGGACCAUGAGACAGAGACGUGGAUCGCUCCAACACCUCAGAGUGUCAUCACCAAACUGAAGUGGGAUCAGAAUAAAGCUCUACUGGCUCAGAAUAAGAACUACUACACAGUGGAGUGUCCUACCUGGUUGAAGAAGUACCUGGAGCAGGGGAGGAGCUCUCUGCUGAGAACAGUGCCUCCCAGGAUCUCCCUCCUCCAGAAGUCUCCCUCCUCUCCAGUCAGCUGCCAUGCUACUGGUUUCUACCCAGACAGUGCUGUGUUGUUCUGGAGGAGAGAGGGGGAGGAGCUUCAUGAGGACGUGGUCCACGGAGAGGUCCUCCCCAACCAUGAUGGAACCUUCCAGAUGAGUGCUGACCUGAAGGUUUCCUCCAUCUCCCCUGAAGACUGGGGGAGGUACGAGUGUGUGUUCCAGAUCGCUGGUUUGAAGGAGGACAUCGUCACCCAACUGGACGAGGACUCAGUCCAGUCCAACAGAGAGAAGCCCACCAGCAUGACCUUCAUCAUCAUCUUCAUCAUCGCUGCAGUGGCUCUCAUUCUCCUCAGCGCUGUCAUCGGACUCGUGGUGCACAGGAGGAAGAAAGGUGAGAGACCAACACAGAAGCUUUGUCCAAUGUGUCUCUGGUGUUUGGAGACUUUCUGAUUAAUGCUGGUGAGACAAAGCCCAAUGUACUUCAACUGCUGGAAAAGAUCCAGCUGUCUCACAGCCGCUGAGAUCAGCUGAUGGAGAUUCUAAUUCUCCAAGUGAGACGUCCUCCUGAACACAGUUCAUGGACGAGAAGCAGUGUCACCACAGUUUCCCCUUUACACUGGAACUCAUUGAUUAUUCAUCACUCAAAUCAUAAAGUGAUAUUCAGGGUCAGACAUUGAUUAAAAUACAAAUAACACAACUGAUAAAUAUGAAAAAUAAAUGGUGGCGUUGAUUAAAUUUGAUCUUUUAGUUAAAAAUAAGAAAUGUAAACUUCCCUCUGAUAAAUGUUUGUUUACAUAUUGGUAAAUCAAAUGAGGAUUAUUACUUUUUCUUAACCUGAAGUGAAGUAAAACAAGUUAAAUAUUCAGAUUUUAUUUUAUUUCAAAUUUUGAACCAGAAAUGAAUUAAUCCAGAGUUGCUUGUUUUUGGUUUGUUUGGUUUUAUUCAUGCUUUGCUUUGUUCUUCACCUUUAAAGUUUAUUUUACUGGAGAAUUAUAAAAGGGUUGUGGGAUGUUUUAAGUGUCUCAUGUGAAAUUUUCUGUAAAUAAUUUCUGUUAGUUUUUAGGCACAAGGGACUUUUCUGUUUUAGCCUUGAUAACACUGUAAAAAAAUGAAAAGGUUUGAAAAACUCAAAAUUACUGAACUUAUCUUUCGUAAGUUUAAAAACUUUACAUUUCUCAAAGCUGUCAACGUGUGUUGUUGUUGUUAUUAUUUUUUCAGGCAAAUGAUUUGUCUUUUUGAGGCUUUAACUUGCUCAACUUCUUACCAAACUUUGCAGAAAAUUAGAACGUGGUGAAAAUGUUUGUAUUCUGGAGUAAUUUUAAAUGGGCGUGGUAAAAUGGCUCAACAGCGCCCCCUGGAACACGUUCACAUUGACCGAUCUUCACAAAAAUACACAGGUGUAUCAUGACCAGACAAACAAACAAGUCUCAAGAGGCAAUUUGAAAAACACAACAGGCAGCCCGCCCUUUUGCAUUUAGUGGCCAUUUUGGACAUAUUCCACAUUUUGACUUUGAGGUGCUUGUACCAGGGCUUUCAUCAGAUCAUCUUCAUAUUGAGAUGAGUGACAUCACAACAAGGCUCAGAGACAGUUUCACCCCCCAGGCCAUAAGACUUAUAAACUCCUCUGAUCUGCAGUAACUCCACUAAACCAGCACCGUAGCAUAAUUGCACUAUUGUUUUUUUCUUUAGGUGUAUAUAUAUAUUAUUUUCUAUUUUAAAUUUUUGAUAUUCUAUGUUUUUAUUAUUUUAUUCAAUAUUUUUUGCUGGUAAUAUUCUGAGCAUUGCUAAAAGAGCCUGUGACUGUUGAAUGUGAUCGUUUGACAAUAAACUCUUGAAACUUGAAA